ensembl:misc_RNA Metazoa_SRP Metazoan signal recognition particle RNA
GCCAGCUAGGUAGCUCACGCCAGUAGUCCUAGCUACUAGAGGAGGAUCCAGGAGGAUCGCUGGAGUCCAGGAGUUCUGGGCUCUGUGCUAUGCCGAUCGAGUGUCCGCACUAAGUUUGGCAUCAAUAUGGUGACCUCCCGGGAGCCGGGGACCACCAGGCUGCCUAAGGAGGGGUGAACUGGCCCAGGGCGGAAAUGGAGCAGGUCAAAACUCCUGUGCUGAUCAGUAGUGGAAUCGCACCUGUGAAUAGUCACUGCACUCCACAUAGCAAGACCGCUACAAUACCCCCUC